UUCCGGUUGAUCCUGCCGGAGGCUACUGCUAUUGGGGUUCGGCUAAGCCAUGCGAGUGGUGGGCGCGGUCGCAAGAUCGUGGCCCCGCAUACGGCUCAGUAACACGUAGUUAACCUACCCUCGAGUCUGGGACAACCUCGGGAAACUGAGGACAAUCCCGGAUGGGUGAGGGAUGCUGGAAUGCUUCCUCGCUUAAAGCUCCGGCGCUCGAGGAUGGGACUGCGGCCUAUCAGGUAGUUGGUGGUGUGACGGACCACCAAGCCUACGACGGGUACGGGCGAUGAGAGUCGGAGCCCGGAGAUGGGGACUGAGACAAGGCCCCAGGCCCUACGGGGCGCAGCAGGCGCGAAAACUCCGCAAUGCGCGAAAGCGUGACGGGGGAACCCCAAGUGCCGCUGUACUUUGUACGGCGGCUUUUAGGGAGCUUAAGGAGCUCCCUGAAUAAGGGCUGGGUAAGCCUGGUGCCAGCCGCCGCGGUAACACCAGCAGCCCAAGUGGUAGUCGCGUUUAUUGGGCCUAAAGCGCUCGUAGCCGGGCCGGUAAGUCCCUUGUGAAAUCGGGCGGCCUAACCGUUCGGCUUGCAAGGGAUACUGUCGGUCUUGGGGUCGGGAGAGGUCUGAGGUACUUCGGGGGUAGCGGUGAAAUGCUGUAAUCCCCGGGAGACCACCAGUGGCGAAGGCGUCCGACCAGAACGAACCCGACGGUGAGGGGCGAAAGCUUGGGGAGCGAACGGGAUUAGAUACCCCGGUAGUCCAAGCCGUAAAGCAUGCGGGUCAGGUGUAGAGCGUCCCUAGAGGGCGCUCGGUGCCGUAGGGAAGCCGUUAAGCCCGCCGCCUGGGAAGUACAGUCGCAAGGCUGAAACUUAAAGAAAUUGGAGGGGGAGCACCACAAGGGGUGGGACCUGCGGUUCAAUUGGAUUCAACGCCGGA
rnacentral:rRNA from 1 species